CUGGCGGCAGGCCUAACACAUGCAAGUCGAGCGCGAAAGCACUUCGGUGUGAGUAAAGCGGCGGACGGGUGAGUAACGCGUAGGAAUCUACCUAGUAGUGGGGGACAACUCGGGGAAACUCGAGCUAAUACCGCAUACGCCCUACGGGGGAAAGCGGGGGACCUUCGGGCCUCGCGCUAUUAGAUGAGCCUGCGUUGGAUUAGCUAGUUGGUGGGGUAAUGGCCUACCAAGGCGACGAUCCAUAGCUGGUCUGAGAGGAUGAUCAGCCACACCGGGACUGAGACACGGCCCGGACUCCUACGGGAGGCAGCAGUGGGGAAUAUUGCGCAAUGGGCGAAAGCCUGACGCAGCCAUGCCGCGUGUGUGAAGAAGGCCCUCGGGUUGUAAAGCACUUUCAAUUGGGAGGAAAGGCUCACGGCUAAUACCCGAGAGCUGUGACGUUACCUUAGAAGAAGCACCGGCUAA
rnacentral:rRNA from 1 species